CCUACGGGAGGCAGCAGUGAGGAAUAUUGGUCAAUGGACGAGAGUCUGAACCAGCCAAGUAGCGUGAAGGAUGACUGCUCUCUGGAUUGUAAACUUCUUUUAUAAAGGAAUAAAACGCGGCACGUGUGCCUUUUUGCAUGUACUUUAUGAAUAAGGAUCGGCUAACUCCGUGCCAGCAGCCGCGGUAAUACGGAGGAUCCGAGCGUUAUCCGGAUUUAUUGGGUUUAAAGGGAGCGUAGAUGGGUUUUUAAGUCAGUUGUGAAAGUUUGGGGCUCAACCGUAAAAUUGCAGUUGAUACUGGGAGGCUUGAGUACAGUUGAGGCAGGCGGAAUUCGUGGUGUAGCGGUGAAAUGCUUAGAUAUCACGCAGAACCCCGAUUGCGAAGGCAGCUUGCUAAACUGUGACUGACGUUGAUGCUCGAAAGUGUGGGGAUCAAACAGGAUUAGAUACCCGAGUAGUC
rnacentral:rRNA from 1 species